AUGGGGGGUGCAGAAGGCAGAGAGGGACCUCAGGAGAAAAAGGAGGGCGUCGGAUCCGCAUAUAGCGGGAAGCCGAAGCCAAGCUGCGCCUUUCCUCCUUCCUCCCGGGGUUGGACCCUCCGCCGCAGCCAGGGCCGCUUCUCCUCCUCCUUCUCCUCCGCCUCCUCCUUUUCCUCCUCCUCGCCUUCUUCCUCGGCUCUUUUGUCUGCAGCGCUAGGGGCAUCUCCGCUCCCUCCCGCGCCGCCGGGCCUGGAGAAGCCGCAUCCCGGCUCCUUGGGCGGCCUCGGUUCCCCGCAAGCAGAUAUUCACAUUGUAAAUAAUGUCAACAGCAUUCACAUUUCCAAUGUGUAUUCUGAAUAUUGGGGAUGCCAGUGUUCAAGAAGUAUGUGUGCCCUCAAUAAAACAAAGCAUUGGAAGAAUUGGAACAAAAACAUGAGGGAGAAAGCAUUCACAGUAUAUCGGGGGCAGAGAAAAGGUGAGAGUGUGAAAAUAACACAACUCUGUCACUAGGGUUGAAACCUACUCAACUGUGUAUAAUCCCUGCUCACAUUACAUCAUCAUUUGUUAUUCAAAAGAAAACCUGAAGGCACCCAUCCAAUGGAAAUGUCUGUCUGUUCAUCUAUUAUCUACUUUUCCAUAGCAAAUGUAGAUCAGAUUGCAGCCUGGCUGUGCAUGACAAUUCACUUCUUGAAGAUCUGCAAACAAUGUGUGUAUGUGCAAUGCUUUAAUAUUUUGGUUAUGAUGAUACUCCUGUAGAGGACAUGGGUUAUAGCAAUGCUGGGGUAAAUGCAUUGCCCAUAAAUAAUUAUUCUCUCUCACACACACCCAAUUAAAUUUUCCUUCAGCCCCCCAAUUUCAGCAUUGCAGUCAUUUAAAACUUCAGAUGAGCAUUUAGAAAUGCAGCUUAGGUGUCCAAAGCAAAGAGAUAGCACCCAAGGGAAUGGGAAUGCAGCAAAUAGAAGAGUUUUAGGCAUGAACACUUUCCAGUGUAACAUUCUCUGCAGCUCUCAAAUUUUUGGGAAUGGAGUGAAAUUUUAUUGGGGGCAGUUCUUGUUUGAGAACAGUGCCGGGAAGAUAAGGGGAAAAAUUAUAGAAUUUGCAUAUUUAGAAGGUAAGGGGAACAAACCUGUAAUAGAAACAAUGGAAUGGUCUGGUCUGGGAUGAAGGGUCAGCACCAGGUGAGAGGAAACAAGGGAAGGCAGAUAGAGGCAAAUAUAACAAGUAUGUAAUAGAGUUAGAGGAUGAAAAUAUUACAGAGGUCAAGGCAUACAUAUUUCUGUAUUACAAUCUGUUAUGGGGAUGUGUUACAUACAAGAGAAUGUGGCAAUGUACUUGUUUGGGAGAAUGGCAUACCUGUAUUAUGUGUACUUGAUUAUCUCUAGUUUUCUUUUUACAUUUUGUAUGUCAUUAAAUCACUCAAUAAAAACUUUUUAAAAAAGGAAAAAAAUAAAAUAAAAAGUAACUACAAAAAAGAGAAAAGUGCCCUCAUUUUACCAUCCUGCUCCAUAAUUACAUCCCAGAGAAGCCCCACAAUCUCCAAAAGCAAACAUGGUUUCCGACACCACAUGUAUUUUCAGGAAGACAGUGGGUGAUAUCUGUACUUGGGUUCUCUUUUGCCUGAAUUGCUCCUCCUUCCUUUUUGAUCUGCUGUUGUUUGAACUUUUGAAGGUACUGUUGUUUUUGUUGCUCUUUUCCUUUUUAAAAUUAUUUGUAGUUUUUCAUUUUGAAAUAUGUGAUAUCGCUUGGUUGUUAGAUGAUUUGAUUUUUUUCAAAGAAGAGAAAGAGGCAUGAUUACAAGGGUGAACAAUCACAUACAACUAUAAUGGGGCUGAAAAGGGAAGACAGAUUAGCAGUUUGGAGUGUGAUUGACAAAGACUGAGCAUCCUAUGGGGCCUCUUCCCCAAAGCGGAUAGCCUCCAAACACAAAAGAGAAGGAUGUAUUUCCCCAGGUGUCCAUAUCAAUAACCAGGGAAACACAGGUGGGAUCACCUGACAUAGCACAGACAAACCAUUCUUGAAGGAGACUGUCUAGUCCCAUCUCGAACCUGCCACCCUGACAUCUUGCCUAGAGAAAAAGCAUCAGACUAGGAAACUUGGGAGCUUGAAAUGAUGCUGCAAAUUCAGAGGUACUGCUCAACUGUAGCUAAAGAGAAGGUCUUGGAUGAGACAGCCUGGGCCUUAUUGCCUGUCUUUCAAGGGGAGCCGCUCCCGAUUAGAUUUUGCCAAAGCCUGAUAUCCAUCUAGCACUUUCAGAAGACAAUCAAGGUAAUGGACAAAGGAAAGCGUUUGGCCAGGGCUGAAAUCUGAGUCAUUUCCCUAGAGUGUAGGAAAGAUCCUUGAGUUUUUAACCCUUUUCAGGAAAGUCUCUGCACACCAUACACUUCAUUCGUUCCAUCUGGGAGUUUGUCCAAAUCGUGAAGCCUUUAAAUAUGUUCCUCUUGAUCUUUCCCAAACCUAUGGGGAGACAGACAAGUGCUUUUCUAUUUCAGCUAGAUAUGGUAGGGCAGGUAACAAGGAGACUUCAAGAGUUUCCCUUUCAGACCUUAACUAAGAACUCUGAGGAGUGUGGACUAAGAAAGUUACUUUUCUAUGCUCAGUUUU
rnacentral:lncRNA from 1 species